UACGUAGGGCGCAAGCGUUGUCCGGAAUUAUUGGGCGUAAAGAGCUCGUAGGCGGCCUGUUGCGUCCGCUGUGAAAUCCCGGGGCUCAACCCCCGGGCCUGCAGUGGAUACGGGCUGGCUAGAGGCAGGCAGGGGAGAACGGAAUUCCUGGUGUAGCGGUGAAAUGCGCAGAUAUCAGGAGGAACACCGGUGGCGAAGGCGGUUCUCUGGGCCUGUACUGACGCUGAGGAGCGAAAGCGUGGGGAGCGAACAGG
rnacentral:rRNA from 1 species